GGUUGAUAUUCCUGUACCACCUCUUUAUCGUUUGAGCAAUGGAGGGACGCAGAAGGAUAGAAGAAGCGUGCGAUUGGUUGUGCACGUCCAAGCAGUUAGGCUGAUAAGUAGGCAAAUCCGCUUAUCGUGAAGGCUGAGCUGUGAUGGGGAAGCUCCUUAUGGAGCGAAGUCUUUGAUUCCCCGCUGCCAAGAAAAGCUUCUAGCGAGAUAAAAGGUGCCUGUACCGCAAACCGACACAGGUAGGCGA
rnacentral:rRNA from 1 species